rfam:Pelodiscus sinensis unplaced genomic scaffold scaffold1072, whole genome shotgun sequence.
CCAACGGCCCUUUUAAGGGCCACCCACUUGUCCUUAAAAGAACUG